GACAGAGGUCCCGAGCGUUAGGCGGAAUCACUGGGCUUAAAGCGUGUGUAGGCGGAUUGGUCAGUACCUUGUGAAAUCCCACGGCUUAACCGUGGAACUGCUUGGUAUACUGCUUAUCUUGGGCCACUUAGGGGUUACCGGAACAAACGGUGGAGCGGUGAAAUGCGUAGAUAUCGUUUGGAACGCCAAUGGUGAAAACAGGUAACUGGGAGUGUGCCGACGCUGAGACACGAAAGCCAGGGGAGCGAACGGG
rnacentral:rRNA from 1 species